UUUUGAAUUUCGAUCGCAUAUAACCACGAAUUCGGACCAGGAGUUCCUGGGUUACAAUUUGGUUUAGAAUUUUGAGCUGGUUGUUGAAUUGGUGUAUGCUUUGGCUAUGGUACGUUGGAAGAGGAGCUGCUUAUGAUCAUUCUCGUUCUUAUUAUAACGUUGGGGAGCCAUCUCUACUAUAUGGGCUGGUUUUGUUACUAAAUUUUCUGGGGAUUUGAACGGACACGUCAUCGUUUUGUGGGUUUAAGAUAUGGAUUUGGUUACUGGCCAAAACAUGUUCUUAUUAGAUACAAAUGGAAUAUAUUCACAUGAAUGAAAAAGCUGAUGUGUUAUGCUUAUGAGAUCAAAAUGUUUGGAUCGGUUGAAAUAUGGAUUCUCAUGAUAUGAGUAAGAGAGAUAGCUGUGGAAGGCAGAAGAAUUGGAGAAACAAAUCCGAUUAUAGGCCUGAGUUUGAGUUUACCCUUCUGACUCAUAUGGUUCUGAUGAUUUGUUGCUUCCCAUGAGCACCCCACGAGGUGGAAAGUCACAUGAGUUGUAGGACCCGAUGCUAUACCUCGAGUAAUGAUUUCACUUAUUGUGAUGGUGGACAGAAUGGAAGAGUAAAAAGAGAUCUUCAUCUAAAGGAUUUUUCGGAGGAAAAACUUAAGGAGUAUUAUCCAAAAGAGCUGAGAAGUAUGUAUUUUUUUCCUGAUUACUUUGUUUGUGUUUUGGUUUUUUUUAAAGUAUAUGUUGAAGCUCACUCUAUGCUACUUAUGAAAUUCCUUGUAGGCAAAUAAACUACAUUAGCAGUCUCAGUUAGUGUAUGGGAUUAAGUGAAUCACUAUUAAUAAUGUGGUAGAUGGUUAUUGUUUUCGACU